rnacentral:rRNA from 1 species
CCUACGGGUGGCAGCAGUGAGGAAUAUUGGUCAAUGGACGAGAGUCUGAACCAGCCAAGUAGCGUGAAGGAUGACUGCCCUAUGGGUUGUAAACUUCUUUUAUAUGGGAAUAAAAUGUUCCACGUGUGGGGUUUUGUAUGUACCAUAUGAAUAAGGAUCGGCUAACUCCGUGCCAGCAGCCGCGGUAAUACGGAGGAUCCGAGCGUUAUCCGGAUUUAUUGGGUUUAAAGGGAGCGUAGGUGGUUUGUUAAGUCAGUUGUGAAAGUUUGCGGCUCAACCGGAAAAUUGCCGUUGAAACUGGCAGUCUUGAGUACAGUAGAGGUAGGUGGAAUUCGUGGUGUAGCGGUGAAAUGCUUAGAUAUCACGAAGAACUCCGAUUGCGAAGGCAGCUCACUGGACUGCAACUGACACUGAAGCACGAAAGCGUGGGUAUCGAACAGGAUUAGAUACCCUAGUAGUC